rnacentral:lncRNA from 1 species
AUGGGAGGGGGGAGCGGGGGGUGGGGGCUCGGCCCUGUGCGCUGUCCCAGGUAUUCUCCAGCCACAAGUCCACGUGGGCGAGGCGGGUUUUCUCCAAAUUCGCCUUUUCUGGAUUGGGAAGCCGGGACCUCACACCUCUGCGUAGUGCGGAGUUCAGGACCAAACCCCGGAGGAGGGGCUCCGUGCCUUCGUCGCCACGGGCCGUGGGUCCCGCCCCCGCCGCCGCCUCGCCUCCUCCCACGCCCCCUCUGCUUCCCCCCACACCUACCUUGCCUGGCGAGCAGGUGGCGGGGGCCGAGGCCGCCCUGGAGGAGGGCAGGGGCAUCCCCGCCCGGCUCCUGCCUGGCGCGGCCUUGGCGGGCCCCGGCGGCGCGCGUGACCGGGUCAGGAGAGGGCUCGGCCAGACUGGGCGCCCGAGGAGGAAGAGGGAGGCAGGACCAGGACCGUGAGAGUGGCGCGACGCGGCGCGGCGCGGCGCGGGUGGAGUUUGCGUGUGCGACAGCUACUCCCCUCACUCCCGCGGGGCUGCGAGCGCGCUCGGUCCUGGCGAGCCGCGCCGCGGGACGCCGGUGGCCCCCUGCCCGAGGGGCCGGGCCGGCGGGGAGGCGGCGCCGGGAGGGGCCGCCGAGGGUCCCCGGGGAGCCCGCUCUGGUUUCCCAGCCGCCCUCCCCGGUCCCCACCGCUGGGCUGGCGUCGGGAAGGGGGAGGGCGGGCCGGCGAGGGCCACUCAGAGUUUCCAGCGACAUUUCCAGAGUGUGGGAAACGAGGUUCUGCGCCGGCGGAGCCAGGACAGGACGCGAGUGCCGAACGCGAGCGAGCCGUGCGCCCCGGGGCCCUGGGGAGGCGCCUGGAGGACCCGAGGAAGCACCCCGCCGCCCGCCCCCGCGGGACGAGUGGGUGCCGCGUCGCCUGGGUCAGACACACGCGCGCGCGCGUGCACCUGGCGGCCGGCGGACGCUCACACACGUGCAAGCCCCGGGAGGAAAUCACCCCGAGGGAGCGCCCCCCCCCGGGCGUGCCGCGCCCCUGAGAGGAUGA